rnacentral:rRNA from 1 species
GUAGGGAAUAUUGGACAAUGGGCGAAAGCCUGAUCCAGCCAUGCCGCGUGAUAGAUGAAGGCCCUCUGGGUUGUAAAUAUCUUUUAUCUGGGAAGAAACUCCUCUAUUCUUAGAGGCCUGACGGUACCAGAGGAAUAAGCACCGGCUAACUCCGUGCCAGCAGCCGCGGUAAUACGGAGGGUGCAAGCGUUAUCCGGAUUCACUGGAUUUAAAGGGUGCGUAGGCGGGUUGAUAAGUCAGUGGUGAAAGCUCCGGGCUUAACUUGGAAACUGCCAUUGAUACUGUCAGUCUUGAAUGUCGUAGAGGUAAGCGGAAUGUUGCAUGUAGCGGUGAAAUGCUUAGAUAUGUUACAGAACACCAAUUGCGAAGGCAGCUUACUAUGCGAUAAUUGACGCUGAGGCACGAAAGCGUGGGGAGCAAACAGGAUUAGAUACCCGGGUAGUCC